rnacentral:rRNA from 1 species
AACAGGAUUAGAUACCCUGGUAGUCCACGCUGUAAACGAUGUCGACUUGGAGGUUGUGCCCUUGAGGCGUGGCUUCCGGAGCUAACGCGUUAAGUCGACCGCCUGGGGAGUACGGCCGCAAGGUUAAAACUCAAAUGAAUUGACGGGGGCCCGCACAAGCGGUGGAGCAUGUGGUUUAAUUCGAUGCAACGCGAAGAACCUUACCUACUCUUGACAUCCAGAGAAUUUGCUAGAGAUAGCUUAGUGCCUUCGGGAACUCUGAGACAGGUGCUGCAUGGCUGUCGUCAGCUCGUGUUGUGAAAUGUUGGGUUAAGUCCCGCAGCGAGCGCAACCCUUAUCCUUUGUUGCCAGCGAGUAAUGUCGGGAACUCAAAGGAGACUGCCGGUGAUAAACCGGAGGAAGGUGGGGAUGACGUCAAGUCAUCAUGGCCCUUACGAGUAGGGCUACACACGUGCUACAAUGGCAUAUACAAAGAGAAGCGAACUCGCGAGAGCAAGCGGACCUCAUAAAGUAUGUCGUAGUCCGGAUUGGAGUCUGCAACUCGACUCCAUGAAGUCGGAAUCGCUAGUAAUCGUAGAUCAGAAUGCUACGGUGAAUACGUUCCCGGGCCUUGUACACACCGCCCGUCACACCAUGGGAGUGGGUUGCAAAAGAAGUAGGUAGCUUAACCUUCGGGAGGGCGCUUACCACUUUGUGAUUCAUGACUGGGGUGAAGUCGUAACAAGGUAACC